GGGACAUGACCUUGACCUUUGACCUUUUGACCUUUGUCAAGGUCAUUAGUCCCCAAUGUCAUUGCUGAAGACCCCAUGGGUCUAGGACCUUUGGUUAUAUAGUAAAAGCUGAUUUUGCUUUCCAGAAACCUAAAACAGGGGUUAUGCCCCUUAAAAAAAGGUCAAAUCUCUUCGGUCAAAAUGUAACAAAGUUGCGCCUUAAUGACCCAAACAUUUUCCACUAUUUAAAACUUCUGUAAGUAUAAUGGUUUCUGAGAUUAUCCCAUAACAAGGUGUUAGGUCAAAGGUCAAGGUCAACAUACAAAUUUGACCUUGAGGUAUUUUUUCAAAGAUACAUGAAUUGAUGAUGAAUUGGUGAAGAUCCUAGGUGUCUACGACUUACGGUUUCUGAGUUUUGGUGGCCAACCGACACCGGUUAAUUUUCAUAGGGGCAUAACCCUACCAAUGAGUCGUUGAAUCUUUUCGAUCCAUCAAAUGUAACGAAGAACCGGGGUCUGGUCCUGAACAAAUUUCACCCUUUGUUUUUUUUCUACCUAUUACGGUUACGGUGUUGGAACGAUAACAAGGUUUUUGGGUUUCGGAGGGAUUACUCCGAACCGACAAAAUAUUUCGACUCACAGGGUGAGUUCCGGAUAGGUAUUCAUGACACCGAUACAAAGUGUGAACAUGAAAGCGACACGUCUUACGGUUACGGAGGCUAAAUUCGUCAAAGUUUGGCGGAACAAAAAGAAUAAUAAUUAAACUGUCAAUUGUUCUUGAACAAUUGAGAGGUCUUUCCUUUUGUAAUGUAAAAUACAUGUUCAAAUAGACGUAGAAUGUAUUGAAAAGCUUUAAAAACACACUGAAAAACCUUUAAAUAAGGUUAAAAACACCAUAAUUCGCUAUAUGGGACAUGACCUUGACCUUUGACCUUUUGACCUUUGUCAAGGUCAUUAGUCCCCAAUGUCAUUGCCGAAGACCCCAUGGGUCUAGGACCUUUGGUUAUAUAGUAAAAGAUGAUUUUGUCUUUUCAGAAACCUAAAACAGGCUUUAUGCCCCUUAAAAAAAGGUCAAAUCUCUUCGGUCAAAAUGUAACAAAGUUGCGCCGUAAUGACCCAAACAUUUUCCACUAUUUAAAACUUCUGUAAGUAUAAUGGUUUCUGAGUUGUUCUGAUAACAAGGUGUUAGGUCAA
rnacentral:lncRNA from 1 species